AUUGAACGCUGGCGGCAUGCUUUACACAUGCAAGUCGAACGGCAGCACAGGGAGCUUGCUCCCGGGUGGCGAGUGGCGCACGGGUGAGUAAUACAUCGGAACGUGUCCUGUUGUGGGGGAUAACUGCUCGAAAGGGUGGCUAAUACCGCAUGAGACCUGAGGGUGAAAGCGGGGGAUCGCAAGACCUCGCGCAAUUGGAGCGGCCGAUGCCCGAUUAGCUAGUUGGUGAGGUAAAGGCUCACCAAGGCGACGAUCGGUAGCUGGUCUGAGAGGACGACCAGCCACACUGGGACUGAGACACGGCCCAGACUCCUACGGGAGGCAGCAGUGGGGAAUUUUGGACAAUGGGGGCAACCCUGAUCCAGCCAUGCCGCGUGCAGGAUGAAGGCCU
rnacentral:rRNA from 1 species